GGCCCUAUAGUUUAAUGGAUAAAACGGGAGUUUCCUAAACUUCUGAUCCAAGUUCGAUUCUUGGUGGGGCUACAA
rnacentral:tRNA from 1 species